rnacentral:rRNA from 1 species
ACUUAGCGGCGGACGGGUGAGUAAUACUUAGGAAUCUGCCUAUUAGUGGGGGACAACAUUUCGAAAGGAAUGCUAAUACCGCAUACGUCCUACGGGAGAAAGCAGGGGAUCACUUGUGACCUUGCGCUAAUAGAUGAGCCUAAGUCGGAUUAGCUAGUUGGUGGGGUAAAGGCCUACCAAGGCGACGAUCUGUAGCGGGUCUGAGAGGAUGAUCCGCCACACUGGGACUGAGACACGGCCCAGACUCCUACGGGAGGCAGCAGUGGGGAAUAUUGGACAAUGGGGGGAACCCUGAUCCAGCCAUGCCGCGUGUGUGAAGAAGGCCUUAUGGUUGUAAAGCACUUUAAGCGAGGAGGAGGCUCUCUUGGUUAAUACCCAAGAUGAGUGGACGUUACUCGCAGAAUAAGCACCGGCUAACUCUGUGCCAGCAGCCGCGGUAAU